UACGUAGGGCGCAAGCGUUGUCCGGAAUUAUUGGGCGUAAAGAGCUCGUAGGCGGUCUGUCGCGUCUGCCGUGAAAACCCGAGGCUCAACCUCGAGACGUCGGUUGAAACCGUUUGGCUAGAGUCCGGAAGAGGAGAGUGGAAUUCCCGGUGUAGCGGUGAAAUGCGCAGAUAUCGGGAAGAACACCCGUGGCGAAGGCGGCUCUCUGGGACGGUACUGGACGCUGAGACGCGAAAGCGUGGGGAGCGAACAGG
rnacentral:rRNA from 1 species